UAGCGUAGGGUGCAAGCGUUGUCCGGAAUUAUUGGGCGUAAAGAGCUCGUAGGCGGUUAGUCGCGUCUGCUGUGAAAACUCGGGGCUUAACUCCGGGCCUGCAGUGGGUACGGGCUGACUAGAGUGCGGUAGGGGAGACUGGAAUUCCUGGUGUAGCGGUGAAAUGCGCAGAUAUCAGGAGGAACACCGAUGGCGAAGGCA
rnacentral:rRNA from 1 species